rnacentral:lncRNA from 1 species
GAAAUUGGCCGUCACUUGUACUUUUCCCAGAUGGAGACCUGUGAGAAAAUCACAACUUUUUCCGUCUUUUCCUCAAUAAGUGCUUAAACUUCUAAUGAAUUAAAAUGUACACAUCAUUAGUUAUUGUCUAAUGUGAAAUGAGUUUUUGUCAACAUCUUCUACCUCUUUUUGGAGAGGGAAUGGCAGUGAAUAAUACUCUAUAGGCUUCAUUUUCAAUUAGAAACAGUACCUCCAGUUUGAGAUGUGGUGAAGCAGUCAGUGUUCAUUCUGGCCAUGACUUCCAUAGCUUGCAGAUUUUUAUCAACUUCCAAAUGAGAAUGCCUCAUUAUUAGCCAGGCACACAUAUUACUACUGUCAAUUCUCCUUCAUCAGUUUGAUUGCUAUUCUUUAGGUAUUUUUCUUAAACUAAACCUUUUUAUUUUUUCAUAUUUACAGACUUCUGGAUUUCUCAAAUUCUUCUGUGAACAGAAGAAUAAAUCAAAGAAGAACUCUUACCUUGCAAAUUUCAAAUAUGUACAAGAAUAGGAAAUACAGUUCACCUUUGAAC